rnacentral:rRNA from 1 species
CCUACGGGGGGCAGCAGUAGGGAAUAUUGCUCAAUGGGGGAAAGCCUGAAGCAGCCACGCCGCGUGGAGGAUGAAGGUUUUCGGAUUGUAAACUCCUUUUGUUAGAGAAGAUACUGACGGUAUCUAACGAAUAAGCACCGGCUAACUCCGUGCCAGCAGCCGCGGUAAUACGGCGGGUGCAAGCGUUACUCGGAAUAACUGGGCGUAAAGAGCGCGUAGGCGGGAUAGCAAGUCAGAUGUGAAAUCCUAUGGCUUAACCAUAGAACUGCAUUUGACACUGGUAUUCUAGAGUGUGGGAGAGGUAGGUGGAAUGCUUGGUGUAGGGGUAAAAUCCGUAGAGAUCAAGAGGAAUACUCAUUGCGAAGGCGACCUGCUAGAACAUAACUGACGCUGAUGCGCGAAAGCGUGGGGAGCAAACAGGAUUAGAUACCCGGGUAGUC